rnacentral:lncRNA from 1 species
AAACGAGUUUUCGCAAAAGCAAAAUGAUUGCUUGAAGCUUCAAAACGACAUUCAUGCAUGCGUACUACAUCCAUUCAUUCACAAGCUCUCCACCUAACGUCCCAUGAAUAAACGGAAACCAAAAAAGAGUUCAGAAAGAUAAAAUUAUAAUAAGUUAAUUUUUUUUUUUGAAAACGCCAAAAUGGAAUAUAAUUGCCAUAAAUAUAUCAUAUGAUACAUACAUAUCAUCUAUUGUUUUCUUGUUCGUAUGCUCUAAAGAGUGCACAAGUGUUACAAGCAAACUUCAUUCUCGAACCGUUUCUCACCUUUCUGUUUAAUUUUCUUUUUUCUUUGGUAAAAUGUAAAGACUGUUUAAAAUUUAAUCUCCCUCU